rnacentral:rRNA from 1 species
AGCUCCAAUCGCGUAUAUUAAAGUUGUUGCAGUUAAAAAGCUCGUAGUUGGAUCUCGGGUCCAGGCUUGUGGUCCGGCGCUGGCCGGUUACUACUCGUCCUGACCUACCUCCCGGUUUGCCCUUGGUGCUCUUGACUGAGUGUCUCGGGUGGCCGGAACGUUUACUUUGAAAAAAUUAGAGUGUUCAAAGCAGGCUAUUGCUUGAAUACAUGAGCAUGGAAUAAUGGAAUAGGACUUUGGUCCCAUUUUGUUGGUUUCUAGGACCGAAGUAAUGAUUAAGAGGGACAAUUGGGGGCAUCCGUAUUUCGUUGUCAGAGGUGAAAUUCUUGGAUUUACGAAAGACGAACAACUGCGAAAGCACUUGCCAAGAGUGUUU